rnacentral:rRNA from 1 species
UUGCAGUUAAAAAGCUCGUAGUUGGAUUUCUGCGGGGGCGGGGCGGCCGGUUGCUUAUAGCAACUCGAGCUAGCACUUCCCCUGCAUCCUGCCGCGAACCGUGCUACCAUUAGUUUGGUGGCGCCGGGGAUCGGCUCGUUUACUUUGAGAAAAAUAGAGUGUUCAAAGCAGGCCACACGCCUUGAAUAAGUUAGCAUGGAAUAAUGAUAAAGGACUUCGGUUCUAUUUUGUUGGUGUUCGGGACUGAAGUAAUGAUUGAUAGGGACAGUUGGGGCGGUCCGUAUUCCAAAGCGAGAGGUGAAAUUCUUAGACCUUCGGAAGACGAACAGCUGCGAAAGCGUUCCGCAAGGAUGUUCCCUUUGAUCAAGAACGAAAGUUGGGGGAUCGAAGACGAUCAGAUACCGUCGUAAAUCUCAACUAUAAACUAUACCAGCUAGGGAUCAGCCCAACGUUUAAUUACAACCGACUUGGUUGGCACCUUAUG